GACCGCGUAGCUCAGUUGGAAGAGCAUUGGGCUAGUAUUCCAAAGGUCGUAGGUUCGAAUCCCACCG